UGUAGCAAUACAUGGGCGGCGACCGGCAAACGGGUGCGGAACACGUACACAACCUUCCUUUAAGCGGGGAAUAGCCCGGGGAAACCCGGAUUAAUACCCCAUAGUAUGUUAGAGAGGCAUCUCUCUGAUCUUAAAGAUUUAUCACUUAAAGAUGGGUGUGCGGCUGAUUAGGUAGUUGGCGGGGUAACGGCCCACCAAGCCUACGAUCAGUAACUGGUGUGAGAGCACGACCAGUCACACGGGCACUGAGACACGGGCCCGACUCCUACGGGAGGCAGCAGUAAGGAAUAUUGGUCAAUGGACGAAAGUCUGAACCAGCCGUGCCGCGUGGAGGAUGAAGGUCCUCUGGAUUGUAAACUUCUUUUAUAUGGGACGAAAAAGGGUCUUUCUAGAUCAACUGACGGUACCAUGUGAAUAAGCACCGGCUAACUCCGUGCCAGCAGCCGCGGUAAUACGGAGGGUGCAAGCGUUAUCCGGAUUCACUGGGUUUAAAGGGUGCGUAGGUGGGUUGGUAAGUCAGUGGUGAAAUCCCCGAGCUUAACUUGGGAACUGCCAUUGAUACUAUCAGUCUUGAGUACCGUGGAGGUCAGCGGAAUAUGUCAUGUAGCGGUGAAAUGCUUAGAUAUGACAUAGAACACCAAUUGCGAAGGCAGCUGGCUACACGAAUAUUGACACUGAGGCACGAAAGCGUGGGGAUCAAACAGGAUUAGAUACCCUGGUAGUCCACGCCCUAAACUAUGGAUACUCGACAUACGCAAUACACUGUGUGUGUCUGAGCGAAAGCAUUAAGUAUCCCACC
rnacentral:rRNA from 1 species